GUGCUGGCUUUGGCAGCACGUAUACUAAAAUGAUACAGAGAAGAUUAGCAUGGCCCCUGGGCAAGGAUGACACGCAGGAAGCUGAGACAGGAGAAUUACUU
rnacentral:snRNA from 1 species